rnacentral:lncRNA from 1 species
GGCUCAUAAUCCCUUCUCUACAUCAUUUGUCCAUGUUGCUCUUGGACUUGGGCUAAAAAAGGUUAAUGUCCUGGUUUUCAAUUUUACAUAUUAAAUAACCCAGAGACAUGUAAUCCAUUAUAAAUAACGAAUGGAUUCGUUAUCACUCAUCACUCUCAAGUGUUAGAAUUUUUUGAUAAAAAGGCAGGCUGGGUGAUUCUGUGCAAUAGAAUCCCUUAACAAAUGUAAAAAAAAAAGGGACUAAAACUCUACUGAAAGCCAUGAAAUUUGUCAUACCUUGCUCACAUUUCUUAAUCAUAGAACAUUUCUGCAUCAAAGGGGCAAUCAAUGUAAUUGAUUGUUUCUGAUGCAUAUUAAAUGCGGGUCCAGGAGACAACACUUAACACCAAUUCAUUAAAAAACUUUUCUCAAACUGCCUGAAUGAAACACUUAAUUUUUGGAAAAGUGGUGUUUCUUUCUGUAAAAUGUGACUGUGCCUUUGGCCUCAGGCAGGUGUAAUUAAUAGCAGGACACUGAGAAUCUACUCUUCACUCACUCAGUCUUGUUUUGGCCCAUUAGAGGAAGGCUGUAGCUCAGGCUGGUGCAUUUAAUGCUGGCCGCACACACAAAAGUCAGACAGAGAUGCCCUGGCUGUGCAAUGAAGGAAUUAAUGAGCUGUUUUACAGGGUCCUGGCCCCCGGCAUGGAGAAACGGGCACGACCGCCGACGUCCAGAGGAGAACUGGCAUCCUGUCUUUGGCAAUGUUCUCACAUGAAUUUUCCUGUGCAGUCAACAGAUGAACAUACAAGCCGGCUGAUGUCCAUAAUCAAAUCUAUUACCUGCCAAAUGACGGCUAGGCAUCUGGGAGCAGGACUCCUCCUGUCAGCUGCAGUGAGACUCAGGCAGAUGCAUGCUGGGAGCCCUGCUGCUCUGUGGUUGGAAUGGAAGCUGACAUGGCGGUGGGCAGGCCAGAUAAUGGCUGUGCGAAGGGCAGCUUCCUUGGGACAUGAUGAAAAAUUGCAGCGUUGCGCGGCCAUGUGUGCCACGUUGUUUGCAUAAUACAGAGCAUGAUGCAACAAUGCCACCAUGGACCUGGAUCCAUCCACACAUGCUCACCUAUACUGAAGAAUGAUGCUGCCAAAACAUCUGAAUAUACAGAAAAAAAUAAUAGGCAUAUUCAGUAAUUCAGAGAGAAAAGACACUGUGGUUAUGAACCUCCAAACCAAAAAAACUUUUUUCUUCUCUGCAGCCAUUUUGAGCUGAUAAGGAGUAAUUGGCAAGAGCAAAACUGCAAUUUCUUCAAGGAAACCGGGAAUGAAAGAUUUUCUGCUAGUGUACUUUUUUCUGCAGGAAGUUGGAUUGUUAGCAGAUAUCUAUUAUUAACGAUCGAGUUAGGGUAGUUUGGUGUUUAUUCAACCAUUGAUCC